AUGAUCCUAGAUGUCCUCAGGUACCACCAUCUUUUCCUACACCUUCAACACCUCGACCACCACAAUCACCUGUGUGUUACCCAGUGCUUUAGAUCCGCGAUGUCCACAGACUGCCAACCUACACCGCCACCUCAGGCUCUGCAAUGUUAUCCCGGUUCCCCUGACCCGAGGUGUCCACAAACUUACCCGCCUACUCUAUCUCCACCAACUUCGACCUUACGCCCAAUUGAUACGCCAGUUUGUUAUCCUGGGUCACCAGAUAAACGUUGCCCACAACCAAGUAGUAAACGGCCUCCGUCCGGAUAUUUACCACCAUCGGGAGAACCAUCCUCUCCUAACUGUUAUAACGGGUCGCCAGAUCCUAGAUGUCUACAAACACCUCAACCCACUCAACCUCAAACUCCUUUAUCACUUGUAUGUUAUCCGGGAUCUUCAGACCCAAGGUGUCCUCAAACACCACAGCCGAUUGCUCCGUCAACAUCUCCUAGGCCAAAUUGUUACCCAGGCUCUCUCGAUGCUAGAUGUCCGCAGCCACCAAAACCUACCCCUCCGCCAACAACUCAAACCCCAACCUGCUAUCCAGGCUCUCUAGACCCAAGAUGCCCUCAAACACCGAAACCAACGAGACCUUCAAGUAUCACUCCUCCAGUCUGCUAUCCAGGAUCAACAGAUCCUAGAUGCCCACAAACUCCGCGUCCGACACCUUUCCCAACGCCUGCAGCACCUAAUUGCUAUCCAGGAUCAACAGAUCCUAGAUGUCCACAAACACCGCGUCCUACAUCUUUGCCAACGCCUGCACCACCUAACUGCUAUCCAGGAUCAACAGAUCCUAGAUGCCCACAAACUCCGCGUCCGACAUCUUUCCCAACGCCCGCACCACCUAACUGCUAUCCAGGAUCAACAGAUCCUAGCUGCCCGCAACUCCGCGUCCGACAUCUAUCCCAACGCCCGCACCACCUAACUGCUAUCCAGGAUCAACAGAUCGAAGAUGUCCUCAGACUCCCAAACCGACGUCCGUUGCGACUCUCUCCCCGCCCAUUUGCUACGUCGGAGCUACCGAUCCUAGAUGUCCUUCACUAA
rnacentral:lncRNA from 1 species